UAAAAUAAGAUAGGAUCACACAUAUAAUUUACAAUAUCCAAAUCCAUAUCUAAACCCAACUAAUAAUAUAUACCCACACAUAUAAGAAAAUAAGCAAACAUAGUCUAAAAAUUUCAAAUUACAAUAUCCAGCGAUUCUUGAAAGACGGGCCAGUUGGUGCUACUUUUGAGGAACUCACCUUGUCAAAGUGGAAGUUCCGGAUACAAGUCUCCUCACCACAACGGAAUAGAGUUCAAGGCUGAGAUUGUAGGUGUCAGGAGUUCUGGUGUCAAUGUGGUCAUUUCAGCCAUGGCAAGAGGGGUGUACUCUUUCAUUUCUUGUUUGCUUUAAUUAAAAAUAUUUUCCCAAUAAACUUGGGUGUCGGCUUUGCAAAAAUGACCCGUGAUUGAUGAUCAGAUUUUUAACCUUUUAUGGCCGCCAUAAUCCUCUCCAAACAAUGAAUCUACCAUCUGCAAAAUCUUAUCAAAGAAAACUUUGACAUAAAUGUGGCAAAAGCCAAAGAAUAUUUUCUUUCUUAUUCUUGAAGAAAAAGUUCGAAAAAAUCGUCAUUGGUUCCUUCAGAUUUCUUUCACCAUUUCCAUUUGUCUUUUUUCAUUUAGCAAUUUGGGAUUUCGCCAAAUUCUUUGUAUGAUGGCUCAGUUUGUGUUGGAUUGCCAAUUAUAAUUUCCUUUUCAAUUUGACAAUUUCUUUUUUCUUUUAGAAUUGUAUCUUUUCCAAUCAUUUCUUAAGCGGGGUUUUUACUAAAAUAAUACAAAAAAUAAAAAAAUACUAAAAUAAAAUACAAAAAAAAUUAUUUACCAAAAUAAUACAAAAAAAAGACGGCUGAAGGAGGGUAAUGGAAUGGCGGCACCGGUGGUGUCAUUCCCAUUGGCGGCACAGGACUAAAAUGUAACUAUCUGCAGUUUCAAGGACCUGACAUGUAAAUUUAUCAUUUUGAAUUUUGAAAGUGAAUUGGUGCCGCAUGUGGGUGUGUCAGCGCCAAAGCUGAAACUUGGCCAAUUGUCUUCCAAGCCCUCCUUAUUUAUUAUUUUCUUUUUAUUCCCCUUCAACUCACUUUUUUAUUUAAUAAACAAGCCCUCAAUCUAUUUUUGUAGUUAAAUAAGCUCUUAAUCUAUGAUUUUUACUCAUAAAAGCCCUUUAUUUUAUUAUUAAAGUAAAUAUAUUUUACCUAAAGUAAAACUAUUUAAAAAAGUAUAAACUAAUUCGCAUUUUAUUUAUUAUUUUGGUAAUUUGAUGAGAAUAGUUUAUUAAACCAAAAUAAUAAAUAAAAUGCGAAUUAGUUUAUACUUUUUUAAAUAGUUUUACUUUAGGUAAAAUAUAUUUACUUUAAUAAUAAAAUAAAGGGCUUUUAUGAGUAAAAAUCAUAGAUUAAGAGCUUAUUUAACUACAAAAAAAGGUUAAGGGCUUGUUUAUUAAAUAAAAAAGUGAGUUGAAGGGGAAUAAAAAGAAAAUAAUAAAUAAGGAGGGCUUAAAAGGCAAUUAGCCAAGUUUCAGCUUUGGCGCUAACACAUCGGCACCAAUUCACUUUCAAAAUUUAAAAUGGUAAAUUUGCAUGUCAGGUCCUUGCAACGGCAGAUAAUUACAUUUUAGUCUUGUGCCGCCAAUGGGAAUGGCAUCACCGGUGCCGCCAAUGAGAAAGGCACCACCGGUGCCGCCAUUCCAUUACCCUCCUUCAGCCGUCUUUUUUUUGUAUUAUUUUGAUAAAUAAUUUUUUUUGUAUAUUAUUUUAGUAUUUUUUUAUUUCUUUUGUAUUAUUUUAGUAAAAAAACCCUUUCUUAAGCUCCAUUUUUUUACAAGGAAGGAAUUAGUUUUAAAACUUCACAUUGUAGCUUUUUAAGAAAUAAUAAAUUAUAGGUUAAAUUCCGUUAUUAGACCCUAUACUUUAUGUAAGUUGUGGACUUAGUAUUUGGUCAUUUUUAGUCCCUGUACUUUUAGAAUUUGAAAAUUUUAGUUCUAACCAAAUGAUAACUAUUAAAUUCAUUAAGCAAUUUCUGUUAUUUUUAAAAUUUAACGUGUUAAACAUAUUAUCACAUAUAUAAUGCUAUGUCUAUUUUGUUAUUUUCACAUAUUACUUACAAAAAUUCAAUUAAUAGAUUUAAUGACUGCCAUUUACAUUAAGCCUGAAAUUUUGAAAUUGAAAAAAUAUAGCCACUAAAAAUGAUCCAAUUGGUGAACGUGAAUUCAAUCUAUAACUUUAUGCAUAAUAUAGGACUAAUGACAUAAUUUAACUAAACAGAUUUAACUGCUACAUUGGAUCAGAACUAAAAUUUCAAAUUUCAAAUAGUACAAUGUAAUAAAAGAAUUUAACCUAAAUUAUAUGUUUUUACUAGACCUGUCCAUGGGGCCCGGCCCGACGGCCUGCCCGAAAUAUGGGAGGGUUUGGGUAAAAAUAUAGGCCCGAACUAUGGGCUUGGGCAAAAAAUGAGGCCCGUUUAGAAAACGGGCCGGGCCUCGGGCAAAACUUUUUUGGUCCGGGCCCGGCCCGGCCCGGCCCGAAAAUAUAUUAAAUAUAUAUAUUUUAUUUUUAAAAUAUAAUAGUUUUAGUUUUAUACAAUUAAUAAUUUGAUAAUUUUACUAAUUAAAUGUUAAAUUUUGUUACAACAAUUAAUACAAUUAACAAUUAAUAAUUUGAUAAUUUUACUAUUCAAAUUAAUUUAUAAAUCAUAUUUAGUUUUCAUAUAUAUAUAUAAUAUUUUUUUACAAUGGAACAAAACACAGGUGAUAAAGCAUCUGAUUUUAGUAAAUGCUUGUUAAUCAUUAACAUCCAAAAACCAGCCCAACUGCAUUUUAUUAUUUUGGUCAACUUAGGUAGGAUUUCCAAAAAUAAAAUUUGGAAUGUUUGAUUUAUUCUUCUGAAGAUAAGGGGAAAUUUUGUUUUUGCAUUUCCAAUGCUAAUCUCCCCGUCUUCUCAAUUAAUAAUUUGAUAAUUUUACUAAUCAAAUGUUAGAUUUUGUUACAACAAUUAAUACAAUUAAUAAUUAAUAAUUUGAUGAUUUUACUAACAAUUAAUUUUAAUAAUAAUUAGUUUUAAUUUUAUUAAAAAUAUAAUUUUAAUUUUAAUUAAAAACGGACAGGGCCGGCCGGGCUCGGGCUUCAUAUUUUUUCCCCGGGCCAGACCUGGGCAAAAUCUCAGGCCCAUAUUUUGGGCCGGGCCAUGCUCGAGCCUGGGAAGUGGGCUGAAAUUUUUUGUGGGCCUGGCCCGGCCCAUGGACAGGUCUAGUUUUUACCGUACUUUUUUAUGAAUACGAAUGAAAUAUCGCUCAAUUUGUCUUUUACUAUACUUUUUAAACACACUUCCAAUAAAUUUUUGUCUAAUUCAAUUUUAAAAGUUUUUAAAAUUUUAAUAUUAAAAAUUGUAAGUGUCUUAAAUAUUUUUGUAAAAAUUUAAAUACAAAAAAAUAGUUUAACUAAAAUUUAAUUUAAAUUAUUUUUUUGAAGAGGUUAACACUGGGUUAAGAAAUUAUAAUUUAAAAUUCUAAAUACAAUUUAUUAAAUUCAAACCUCCAAAACAUAAUUUGAAACAAAUUAAUCUAUCACCAAGUAAUUGAAGCAUUAAAUAAAGUUUAUUCAUCCACCUUUAAUCUAUUACAAUUUUUUAACUUUUGCAUGUUUGAUCCAAUUGGUGAACCAUUUCAACCCAAUUUUGGUGGGACAAAAGCUAUGUGUGUGUGUAUAUAUUGCUAGAGAAAUAAUUAGUAAAUAAAGAAUAUAUUAAUCAAUCAAUAAUAAUAAAAAGGGACAUUGUGGGACAUUCAUGAAAUAAGAUCCCACUAAGGAGCAACUAAGCUAUCAUAUCAAUAAAUAAAUAAAUAAAAACUUAAUAACUUUUGUACCCCUCCAACUUUAUAAAAACAAAAUCAUUUUAACCUUUCAUUUAAUUUUUCACCUUUUUAGCUCUUAAACUUUUUUUUUGUCAAAUCACCUCACAAUGAAUGAAAAAGUUGACAUUUUUUAACUUUGAUGAUGUUGCGUACAGGUGAAUGACAAUGUUGUGACACUAUUCGAUUUGAGUUGAAAACGAGCUAUUGUGGCCAAUCAUGUAUGAAAGAGCUAUCAGACUUGGAAAUGAUUGAAAUUUUAAAGUGAAAUGCGACUUAUAAACUUAAUUGUGAUACUAGUGAAUGAAUAAGUAUCAUUAUACAUGAAUAAAUGUAGAAAUGAACUAAAUGCUAAUAAAUUGAAUGUUAUAUGAGAAGUUAAUAUGUAUGUAUAAAGAAUUGGUAUGCUGUUAUGAAUAUAAGCAUAGAUAUAUGAAAGUGAAAUUAUUUUUCAUAUGUUGGCAUAAGUUAGACUACAAAUUGAACAUAUGCAUUUGCAUGAAUUUGUUCAUAUUGAUUUGAAUUGUAGAAAUUACCACUAAGCAAUUUGCUCAGUGUGCGAUUUGUUUUCCAUGCCCAGGUUAGGUUCUAUUCAAAAUUCCUGAGCAUUAACUUCAACAUCCAAUCAAUGAUCCUGGGCUCAUCAAUGUUUGUUCGUUUAUGGAUUUUGUUAAUAGUUGGCAUGUAUCUAAUAGGUUAAGUCAUGUUGGUUUGGUAUUUUAAGAAUGAUAUAUAUUUGUUUUGAUUAUAUAUAUACUCUUUUGAUUUCAAUUGUUGAUGUAUGUAUUGGCUUUCCUUAUUAUUAGUUGCAAAUGGUUAAUAAUCUUAGUUGAAAUGGUAUAAUCCUAUAUAUGUUAAUGAUCCUAAUGAUAUUGGUGUGAAUGCUUGAGUUAGAUUGAAUUGCAUUAGGGAUUAGUUUUGUUGAAAUGGAACAUUUGCAUAUUGAGAGUAGUGUGUAUAUAUAUAAUUAUGUCUUGAAAUGAUUUAAAGAAGUGCAUAUGGUAGUUAAAUCUCAUUUGAAUAUGUUUGGUUUUGGCUUGGCAAAGAUUGCAGGAAAAAAAUCUUAGAAAUUGUAGAAAUAGUAUGUGACAUUGCGACGUCAAAUGUAUCACAUCAUGAUGAGAAAUAACAUAUAACGUCAUGGCAAGAUGAGGAACCCCGUUAUCUCAACGAGGUCAAAACAAUAUAUGGUGUUGCGACGUCAAGUGGCCUGAUGUCAUGACGUGACAAACUAUUUGACGAUGUCACGACGUGAACCCUAAAUUUUUUUAAAAUUUUUUUACGAUUCAAUCAUAUUUCGAUCUCGGGUUAACUUUAAGCUUUCAAAAGCUUGUAUAAUACCCAAUAAUGAUUAUUUUUUGUAUUGUUUACUUGUAAUUCUUAUGGAUUGUAUGUUUGAUGGUGUGAUUUCGUAUUUAAUUUGAUUGUAGUUGCUUCGGCAAUGAAUGUGACACCUUAUAACUCAGACCCGACAAUUGUGUCAGGUAUGAAGUGUUACACAUGGUAAAUGUUAUUGUAAGAGUACUUAUUGUAAUAACCAUGUUGGGGUUAUGGUGGCCUAGUUUUGUAUCCUUGUUGAUUGGUGUUGGUAAGCUACAUUGAAUGAUAUAGAUGGAUCAUAAAAUUGUUAAUAGUUGAUUUCAUUCUCUAGGUUUUGCAUAUUUAAAUGCUCUCAUUGGGUAUAAACAUUAUUUUUUAUUUCCUUCCCACAAAUGAUGUCGAUUGUUAAUGCAUAAUUUGGUGGAGGAUGUUGUGAGCAGUUCACACGUGGGUGCGAAGAGUCGUUAGUUAGGGGAGUUGGGGAUUCUAAUGAUAUUUAGGUCGAGUUUCGAAAUAGGUAAAGAGUAUUAAUCUUCUUUGGGGAAAGUGGGAGCCUAUAUAAAGGAGGGGCUUGGUAGAGUCCCUAUGGACAAAUGUCCUACUAUGCUAAGCUGUGGCGUGCUUUAUUUGGAUGUGAUAUAGUAUGGCCUGACUCUAACUUUUUUAGAUCCAACGAUAGAGCGAUGAAAGACUUUAUUAAAUGUGAUGAGAGUAGCUCUUGGCGGAACCUUGACGUAACCCACAUGACAGGCAUGUGAGACCAUCAGUCUGACUAGCCCUUCUCAGUCAGGCGCUUUAUCUGGUGAAGGUUGAUCAAAAGAGAUGAUUGGGUAUAAGAAAUAUAGAUAUAUAUUGGGAAUAUUAUUUAUAUAUAUAUAUAAGGUGAUGUUGAAAACUUUUUUAUCUAUACUUAUCAUAAAACCCUGACUAAAUUAGUGUCAUGGACUAACCGAAUAUGAAUGCAGUUGGGAAAAGACUAAUAUACAUUUUUUAAUUGACACAUAAUAUUAUUAUGAUAAUACUUUUCUAUUUUCAUACUUUUAUAUAGUCUUUAAAUAUAAAAAAAAUCGAAAACCCAUAAAUUUAAAAAUCGAACAGAUGUUUAAUAAAGUUUAUAUAGAAGCUUUUUAUCACUCUACCUAUAUUUAUUGUUGAAUAAAUUAAAAAAAUAUAUUUUUUAUAUCAUCCACACUCAGACAUCUUCUAAUAUAGAAUAAAUAGUUUUGAUAUUUUAAUUCAAAUUUUAAUAUCCACCAUGCAGACUAAGAAAACAUUUUAUACAAUGAUAAGAUAGACAAAUAAAUCAUAUAUGUAUAUAUAUGAUUCACCCUCCAAGAAUCUGGCCAUGUAAGAGUAUAGGAAAGUCAGCAAAAUGCACCAAAACAGAUCAACACUCUGUUUCCUUUAAUUUUCUGUCAAAGUGAGUAUUGAGGAAGCAGGCACAGAGAAGGAAGUACAUUUGUAAAGGAGAAUAUAAUAUAAGUUGUGUCCUUUUCGUUAGUUCUUUGUUUUUACUGCCUUUUGGCUUUCCUUUGUAUCCUAUUUCAGUCCCUUUGCAAAACCUGCCAUCUCUGAAGCUUUUGUAUCAAUUUUUCUAUAGAUAAGAUUCUUUAUGAAAAAAACUGAAUUCCGAAGCUACUUUGAUUCUGAUGAAGAAAAAGCUUCCUUUUUUGCAUGAUUUUGUUGAAAAAAUAUAAAGAAAUGAAUGUUUUAACUUGUUUUUUCUUUGUCGUGAUGCAGAUAUAACCUCUUUAGAAUCUGUGGGAAAGUUUUGCAUUUUGGAAGGUUCUUAAUCCAAGAAAAGGUAGAUAAAUCUUUUUUUUAUUUUUUAUGCUUUGGUGUUUUGUCGAUGUACCCUUUUAUCUAUUUGUGUAAAAUUUUAUUGAAAGUAGGGAAAUUUUGGAUGUUAAAGUGAAGCAGAUGGUGUUUUUGUAGAAAUUUGGGAAUGGAAGAUAGAUAUAGUUUUCCAUCCUUGAGAGAUGGGGAUUUUGAGGAAGAAGAUGUUUGGGCAGUUCUUAAGGAAAGUAAGGAUUCAACUUACAAGGUUGGACAUUCCAGUGAACCUUCCAUUCCUGAUAGAGGACAUGUUCCAAGUGCUGCAAGA
rnacentral:lncRNA from 1 species